rnacentral:lncRNA from 1 species
GUUUAUAAUUAUAUUUUUCGAAAUGAAGAAGUAUAUAAGUCAACAUGGUUCACAUUUGACAGUUUACAUUUUUACUAGAUAAAGAUACUCCUCGCAGGAGUAGAAACACGGCAAUUACCUUAUUAUUAAUCUAAAAUGUUUAUUCAUACUGAUCUUGCCAUGGAAGACGCCCUUCUUCCAUACAAUAUUCCUUUAACUCUUCUCUUAUUUGAAUGGGCAUUCACAGGCGAUUUGCGUGGAAUAAGUUUAACAGGAAGAAGAGAUGUCAUUUGGUCGUUAUUUGCCCGUCUCCACGUUCCUUCAAUAUAUUCGUUCUUUUCUAUGUUAUAUAUAAUGCGUACAAUUCUUUUCUAUGUUAUAUAACAUAAUAAUAAUAAUAAAACUAAAAUGUCCUACUGCUAC